rnacentral:tRNA from 1 species
UCUAAUAUGGCAGAAGAUAUGCAAUGAAUUUAAGAUUCAUAUAUAAAGAUCAAAUCUUUUUUUAGAA